rnacentral:rRNA from 73 species
CUACCUGGUUGAUCCUGCCAGUAGUCAUAUGC